GGUUGAGAUGACGGGGGUGACCGUGAUGAACAUCGGUGUUCGUAGCUGUUAACGGUGAUGAAAGAAAGAUGAUUCAGGGCUGUUCGGUUAUUAGUUGCGGGUUUGAGCAACUGGUGUAUAUCCGGUGACAACAGCAGGUUUCGCAGGUGCCUUGAUCGUGUUGUUUCGUGAAAAGAGGAGACUGGCGUGUUGCGUGAAAAACGGGCGUAAGGGAUCCGUCAAAGCAGGUGGCUUUGGAUUCGGUUCGUUUAGCAGUUGAAAGAAAACGUUAUAAGCGGGUGGCUUGUUUUCUUUGUUGGUGGAGAGGCCUCUUGGAACAAGUUUGAUCGGGAAAAGGUACGGGUGUCAAGAUAAAGAAGAGACUGGAAAACUACACGAGGUCAUUGAUCCGUGAUGAGUCAAGAUGUUAGUGAACGUUUCCAGCGUGAUGCCAUGUGACAUGUUACAAGCGUGGUGUUUUUUUUAUUUGGGUUGAACCGAGACAUUGGACGUGAUCGACGCGAAGAUCGGGUGUCCGUUAGAAGUCAUAGUGGUUCGAAACCGAGGUGGUUCGGUGCUACAGUGAACAUUUCGAACAAACACCGAUUAAGGGGGUGAUUGUUGGGUUUACUCGGGUUUAUUCGCGGGUUAUUGGUUCGGCACGUUAUCGAGUCACGGUCAAGUUCGUUCGUAUUUUAUUUGAGCUUUCAUGGAAUAAGUUAAAACUGCAUGGUUAUGAUUAACCUAAGAUGCAAAUUUGGACUGUUUGACUGUUUGACAUUAGUAGUUUUAUAUUUAGGAUUAUUUAAUUAGAUGAGAAUUGGUAUUUAGUUUGACCGAUUUGUUUGGAGAUAUUUGUUGGGGGAAUGCACGUUGGAAGAGAGGGUCAUACUCUCUACCUGUUCUUUAGGAGAUUUAGUGGGUUUUUGGCUAGUUGUUAAU
rnacentral:lncRNA from 1 species